rnacentral:misc_RNA from 1 species
GAACCACUUGCAGGUUUAUUCAACCAAACCAAACUCUCAAUUACUAUUGGGAUUCGGCAUUCGCAUGUGAACCUAACAUAACAAAAUCCUACUAUUUUGCUGGAGUCAAUGCAACCAAAUCUUCUUUAAUUCUAUUGAUUUAUUAUUCAUAACUCUCUGCCUUGUACUCAUGUUUCAGUUGCAAAAGAAUCCGAUCAAACCCUGUUCUCCUGUUUCUCCCUUGAAGAUCAGAGAACAAUCAGGGAUGCUCUGCAGCACAAAAUCUCCAGCCAUAUUUCCUAAUAUGGAUCCGGGGAUCUGGAGCCGGCUGCCAGAGGAGCUCCUGGAUCAUGUGUUGGUUUUCUUGCCUCUCAAAACAUUAUUGAAUCUGAGAUCAACUUGUAAGCACUUUAGGUCUCUUAUAUUCUCUCCUUCUUUUAUGUCCAAACACUCCUCUUCUGGUUCUCCUUUCUCCUCGUUUCUUCUACUCUCUCACCCUCAGUUUCACCAUCGCUACUCCUUGUAUGAUUCCAUGCUCGGCAUCUGGCGCAACUUCAGUUUAUCGCUUUCUAUUUUGCUACCCUCUGCUGCUGCUGCUGCUCGUUCUCAUUCCUCCACUCUACUCUCAUCUUCUAAUGGGCUGUUGUGCUUCUCUCUUCCCAACUCCUGCUCUUUUCUUGUGUGCAAUUUCUUGGCCAAAUCUUCUAGGGUUCUUGAAUUUCCAAGUUACCCUUUUGCUUUUGAGUCGCUCACUUUUGUCUCAACACCAUUUGGGUACAAAAUCUUCGUGCUAUGCUCCAAGUUUUCAUCAAUUUCAGCUUUCAUUUACGAUUCAAGAUUCAAUUCUUGGCAAAAAUUUGAUAAUCUUGAGCCAAUUCUAAGCGACAAUUGUCAUCAGGAAGGUGUGUUCUUUAAUGGGUCAUUGUACUAUACCACUCCAGAGCCGUUUUCAAUUGUGUGCCUUGAUUUGGAGAGCGGAAAAUGGAAGAGAUUUGGCAACGAAUUGCCAGAAGAGCUGACUUUUGUUAGGUUGGUGAGUGAUGGUGAAGGGAAGCUGUAUAUGAUUGGUGGGAUUGGGAGAAAUGGGAUUUCAAAGAUGAUGAAAUUGUGGAAAUUGGGUAAUGGAGGGAAUUGGGUUGAAGUUGAAAGUUUGCCUGAAAUGAUGUGUAGAAAAUUUGUGUCAGUUUGCUACCACAACUAUGAACAUGUGUAUUGCUUUUGGCAUCAAGGGAUGAUCUGUGUUUGCUGCUAUACAUGGCCAGAGAUAUUGUACUACAAGGUAUCAAGGAAGACCUGGCAUUGGCUGCCCAAAUGCCCUUCAUUGACUGAUAAGUGGAGCUGUGGCUUCAAGUGGUUUUCCUUUGUUCCACAGCUGUAUGCUUCAGUGUGAUGCACUGGUGUUUUCUGGUCUGGUCUCAUUGUUUGUAUUAGUUGUUUUUGGUAAUCUCCUCCUUUUUUCUUUCUUUUUUUGUUUCACAAGUGGUUGUGUGUAUGACCUGUGUGUUUGGAUUCAGUUUCUGUUGAUAGAAAUGUAGAAAUCUAGUAUUCGGAUUGUUCAUAAUUGCUUUCAUUGACAC